rnacentral:rRNA from 1 species
UCCGUGGUGAACCUGCGGAAGGAUCAUUAUCGGUUUGCUUUUGCUGAUUGCAUAGCAUUGACCCCUCUCUCGGGACUGGCACUGUGCUUGCACAACCAGUUCUAGUGAGCCCGCCUGUCUGCUGGGCUCUGUAACGUCUGCUGCUGUGCUGCCGAUUGUUUGUUGGUAGCUUUGCUCAGGCGGCCUUAGGCUGCUGGUACCGUAUACAAUUGUCGGUUUGAAGAUCCUCGCCCAGCCUUUGGUUUGUGAAUCUACCCCCGUGUAGGGAUCUGCAAUUGUUGCAAACUCUUGCUGGCCAGCCCAGCCCUCUUAACUGCUGUUGAGAGAAUCUCAAUACAACACUAUACAGUGGAUCAUUUGGCUCGGUGGUCGAUGAAGAACGGAGCUAACUCUGUGAUGCCGUGUGAACUGCAGGACAUACGAACAUCGACACUUUGAAUGCAUAUUGCGGAUUUGAGCUUGUCUCAGAUCCAUACCUGGCUCAGGGUCGGUUUAACAUCCAUCAGGCUCACUUUUGUGUGCCUGCAUUGGGCAGUUGUUUUGCCAAUGGCAGAGCAGUGCCUCAAGUUUUGUCGUGCAGAUUACACCGACUCGACUCUUGGGAGAGAUCCUGGGUUGUUGUCGAUGGCUGCAUGUGCAUGGUGCCUUGGCCCUUUUGCAUUGGCCUUUGAGUGCACCGCCUCUUUCACUUUCGACCUGAGAUUAAGUAAGAAUACCCGCCGAAUUUAAGCAUAUCAAUA